rnacentral:rRNA from 1 species
CCUACGGGUGGCAGCAGUGAGGAAUAUUGGUCAAUGGACGAGAGUCUGAACCAGCCAAGUAGCGUGAAGGAUUACUGCCCUAUGGGUUGUAAACCUCUUUUAUAAAGGAAUAAAACGAGGCACGUGUGCCUUUUUGCAUGUACUUUAUUAAUAAGGAUCGGCUAACUCCGUGCCAGCAGCCGCGGUAAUACGGAGGAUCCGAGCGUUAUCCGGAUUUAUUGGGUUUAAAGGGAGCGUAGAUGGGUUGUUAAGUCAGGUGUGAAAGUUUGCGGCUCAACCGUAAAAUUGCAAUUGAUACUGGCAGUCUAGAGUACAGGUGAGGUAGGCGGAAUUCGUGGUGUAGCGGUGAAAUGCUUAGAUAUCACGAAGAACCCCGAUUGCGAAGGCAGCUUACUAAACUGUGACUGACAUUGAUGCUCGAAAGUGUGGGUAUCAAACAGGAUUAGAUACCCUAGUAGUC